GAUGAACGCUAGCGGCAGGCUUAACACAUGCAAGUCGAGGGGUAUAGGUUUUCGGACCUAGAGACCGGCGCACGGGUGCGUAACGCGUAUGCAAUCUACCUUUUACAGAGGGAUAGCCCAGAGAAAUUUGGAUUAAUACCUCAUAGUAUUAUUGAAUGGCAUCAUUUAAUAAUUAAAGUCACAACGGUAAAAGAUGAGCAUGCGUCCCAUUAGCUUGUUGGUAAGGUAACGGCUUACCAAGGCAACGAUGGGUAGGGGUCCUGAGAGGGAGAUCCCCCACACUGGUACUGAGACACGGACCAGACUCCUACGGGAGGCAGCAGUGAGGAAUAUUGGUCAAUGGGCGCAAGCCUGAACCAGCCAUGCCGCGUGCAGGAUGACGGUCCUAUGGAUUGUAAACUGCUUUUGUACAGGAAGAAACAGUUCUACGUGUAGAACCUUGACGGUACUGUAAGAAUAAGGAUCGGCUAACUCCGUGCCAGCAGCCGCGGUAAUACGGAGGAUCCAAGCGUUAUU
rnacentral:rRNA from 1 species